rnacentral:tRNA from 1 species
GCGGGUAUAGCUCAAUGGUAGAGUUCUGGCCUUCCAAGCCAGCUGUGAGGGUCCUAUCCCCUUCACCCGCUCCA